CCUGUAGUUUAGUUCAUGACAGAAACCAGAAAUUCGUUAUUUUCUUUAAAAUUUGCACUUUAUUUCUCAAUAAAACCAGAUAAAACUGACAGAAGAAUUUUAAAAAUUACAAAACAAAAUUAUCUGACCAAAACAUUAGGUUCCAGGCUUUUACGCGAUUUCACCUUGUUGUCAUAGGAACUGCACCAAGCUGACCAGCAAUUUUGAAAAUUGAUCAAAAUUAUUGAUUUUGAGUCCUUUUAUUCUUCUUUUCUUCUCUUUUACUGGUUCAAGAUAGACUUGCAUGGUAUUUUUGCGUUCUUCAACUAACACAUAGCCACUGGUAAAGCGGAAUUAUGUUAUAAAGUCAAGGUAUACCGAUCACAACAUG